rnacentral:rRNA from 1 species
CGGAGGGUGCAAGCGUUGUCCGGAUUUAUUGGGUUUAAAGGGUGCGUAGGCGGCUAAUUAAGUCAGCGGUGAAAUUCCACAGCUCAACUGUGGAACUGCCAUUGAUACUGGUUGGCUUGAGUACAGAUGAGGUAGGCGGAAUUGACAGUGUAGCGGUGAAAUGCUUAGAUAUUGUCAAGAACACCUAUUGCGAAGGCAGCUUACUAAGCUGUAACUGACGCUGAGGCACGAAAGCGUGGGGAUCAAACAGGAUUAGAUACCCUGGUAGUCCACGCUGUAAACGAUGAUUACUCGAUGUGUGCGAUAGACAGUACGCGUCCAAGCGAAAGCGUUAAGUAAUCCACCUGGGGAGUACGCCCGCAAGAGUG